CAACAACCACAAGUGACUAGAGUUUACGCUUGUCUCUGUUUUUUUGCUCUGUUCUGGUGCUCCAAGUCUUAAUCAGAUGCAACAUAGUGAUCAAACGAUGUAACGUGGCUUUAAAUCGUUUGCAUGUGAUCAGAACCAUCGUCUUACUUAUUCCUCCAAAUAUCCUUGAAGAACAGGAGUGAUUAUCAAACUGUGAACCGUGGUACACUUUUUCCGACGAUGUUGACCACAAAGCAACCAGGAUGGUUCACAGCUAUGCAUCUGGGUCGGGUCCUAACGCUGCAGCUUGGAGACCUCAGAUUAUAAGACCAACUCACCAGCACAAAAUGGCUAACCAGCUGGCUAAUAUAGAAGGAUUACAGAAGCAGACGUUUGUUCCAAGGCCUUUAUUUGGUCCAGCUCAGACCUAUUUCGUUCAACAACCACAUCAUCUCAAUGCAAUAGAUUUUUCCAUGUACCGUUAUUAUCCUUACAUGAGACCUGAGGCUAAUCAUUUUUUCAGGAGUGAUCAGAUGUUUACUCUGACAUCACCAAGUGGACAGCCAAGAUCCUUUGUGUUAAGUGAGCCAGCCAAUAUCCUUUGCUUACUGCAAUACCCAACGCAGACUCAGAGGCUCGAUGAUGGACCAUCUUCCCACCAAGGUCAACAUCAGCAGCAGCAGGCUAAGCCUAGACAUGUCAAUUAGAGCCGAAACCCACAGUUCGAACCCAUCCAGCCCUAAAAAUUAUCGGACUUAGGCUUAGUUUUAGAAGCCUAAGCCUAAGCCAUGGUAUAAAAAACGGUUCUUGACAUGAUUUGUUAAGUUUUUUGUUUUCAAUUAAUCUCUCUGUCUCUCUCACAGAUUGGUUUGGUAAGUUUAAGUGAUAUUUUAGUGACUUGUUGAUAAAGGAAGAUUUCUCUUUUGAAUA